GGGGAUAUAGCUAAGUUGCAAGAGUGUUUGCUUAGCAUGCAUAAGGCCCUGGGUUCAACCCCUAGUACCACCC
rnacentral:tRNA from 1 species